GCUUGUCUCAAAGAUUAAGCCAUGCAUGUCUCAGCAUAAGCUUCAACACGGUGAAACUGCAAAUGGCUCAUUAAAGCAGUUACAAUUUAUUUGAUGGUCACUGUUACAUGGAUAACUGUGGUAAUUCUAGAGCUAAUACAUGCAAAAAAACCCAGACUUACGAAUGGGUGCACUUAUUAGAUAAAGCCAACGCUGGGUAAAACCAGUUUCCCUUGGUGAUUCAUAAUAAUUAAGCGGAUCGCAUGGCCUUGUGCUAGCGACAGUCCACUCGAUUUUCUGCCCUAUCAUGGUUGAGAUUGUAAGAUAGAGGCUUACAAUGCCUACAACGGGUAACGGGGAAUUAGGGUUCGAUUCCGGAGAGGGAGCCUGAGAAACGGCUACCACAUCCAAGGAAGGC
rnacentral:rRNA from 1 species